UACGUAGGGAGCAAGCGUUGUCCGGAAUCAUUGGGCGUAAAGCGCGCGUAGGUGGCUUCAUAAGUCCGUUGUGAAAGUCAAAGGCUCAACCUUUGAAAGCCGAUGGAAACCAUGUGGCUAGAGUCCGGAAGAGGAGAGUGGAAUUCCUGGUGUAGCGGUGAAAUGCGCAGAUAUCAGGAAGAACACCCGUGGCUAAGGCGGCUCUCUAGUACGGUACUGACGCUGAGGCGCGAAAGCGUGGGGAGCGAACAGG
rnacentral:rRNA from 1 species